AUGAUGGUGGCAAAAAUGAUGGAAAAGUCACUGGAGUUGAUCAACGCUAGGCUCCAACUUGUUAUGAAAAGUGGAAAGUAUGUCCUGGGGUACAAGCAGAUUCUGAAGAUGAUUAGAUAAGAAAAAGCAAAAUUGGUCAUCCUCACUAACAAGUGCCCAGCUUUGAGGAAAUCCCCAAUAGAGUACUACACCAUGUUGGCCUAAACUGGUGUUCAUCACUACAGUGGUAAUAAUACUGGACUGGGCACAGCAUGUGGAAAAUACUACAGACUGUGCACACUGGCUAUCAUUGAUCCAGGUUAUUCUGAUGUCUUUAGAAGCAUGCCAGAAGAUACUGGUGAAAAGUAA
rnacentral:lncRNA from 1 species